CCUACGGGGGGCAGCAGUGGGGGAUAUUGCACCAUGGGGGGAACCCUGAUGCAGCGACGCCGCGUGGGUGAAGAAGCGCCUCGGCGCGUAAAGCCCUGUCAGCAGGGAAGAAAAUGACGGUAUCUGAAGAAGAAGCCCCGGCUAACUCCGUGCCAGCAGCCGCGGGAAUACGUAGGGGGCAAGCGUUAUCCGGAUUUACUGGGUGUAAAGGGGGCGCAGACGGCGAUGCAAGCCAGGAGUGAAAGCCCGGGGCCCAACCCCGGGACUGGUCUUGGAACUGCGUGGCUGGAGUGCAGGAGGGGCAGGCGGAAUUCCUGGUGGAGCGGUGAAAUGCGUAGAUAUCAGGAGGAACACCGGUGGCGAAGGCGGCCUGCUGGACUGCAACUGACGUUGAGGCCCGAAAGCGUGGGGAGCAAACAGGAUUAGAUACCCUUGUAGUC
rnacentral:rRNA from 1 species